GUCUCCCCCCUCUAAUCAAUGAAACUGAUCUUCUCGUGAAGAAGCGAGAAUAUAAGUAUAAGACGAGAAGACCCUAUGGAGCUUUAAACCCAUCACCACCUGCCUAUAUAAUAUCAAAACAAUUAGCAGCCUGUUCAAGAUGGUUUUUGGCUGGGGUGGCCCUGGAGUAAAAUAAAUCCUCCAGAUUGAAUGGUUUAACUACCUAAUCUAAGAGCCACUACUCUAAGAAUUAAUAUUUUAACAUAAUUGACCCAAUAAAUUGAUCAACGAACCAAGUUACCCUAGGGAUAACAGCGCAAUCCAUUUCAAGAGCCCCUAUCGACAAAUGGGUUUACGACCUCGAUGUUGGAUCGGGGUAUCCUAGCGGCGCAGCCGCUGCUAAAGGUUCGUUUGUUCAACGAUUAAUAACCCCACGUGAUCU
rnacentral:rRNA from 1 species